rnacentral:rRNA from 1 species
GAUGAACGCUGGCGGCGUGCCUAACACAUGCAAGUCGAGCGAACAGACGAUGAGCUUUCUCCUCUGCCGUUAGCGGCGGACGGGUGAGUAACACGUGGAUAACCUUCCUAUAAGACUGGGAUAACUUCGGGAAACCGGAUCCACUACCAGCUAAUAUAUUUAACCGCAUGGUUCAGUAGUUAAACACCGUUUUGCUGACUCUUAGAGAUGGUUCCAGGUCGCAUUAGCUAGUUGGUAAGGUAACGGCUCACCAAGGCUACGAUGCGUAGCCGGCCUGAGAGGAUGAUCGGCCACACUGGAACUGAGACACGGUCCAGACUCCUACGGGAGGCAGCAGUGGGGAAUCUUGGGCAAUGGGCGCAAGCCUGACGGAGCAACGCCGCGUGAGUGAUGAAGGUCUUCGGAUCGUAAAACUCUGUUGUUAGGGAAGAACAGAUGUGUAUGUAACCAUGGACGUCUUGACGGUACCUAAACAGAAAGCAACGGCUAACUUCGUG